CCGUGCAAAGGUAGCACAAUCACUUGUCUCUUAAAUCGGGACCUGUAUGAAUGGCAUCACGAGGAUUUAACUGUCUCCCUUCAUCAAUCAGUGAAACUAAUCUCCCUGUGAAAAAGCAGGAGUAUAUAUACAAGACGAGAAGACCCUAUGGAGCUUAAAACUAAUAACACUUGCUCUUUAUUCUCUAUUCCAAAAUAAUUAUCUUAUAGCACCGUGAUUAUAAGUUUUUGGUUGGGGUGACCAUGGAAAAAAACUAAACUUCCAUGCUGCUUAUUAAAUUUAAGAACUUCAUUUCUAUAAAUCAACAAAUUGACAUAAUUGACCCAAACACUUGAUCAACGAACCAAGUUACCCUAGGGAUAACAGCGCCAUCCACUUCAAAAGCACAUAUUAACAAGUGGGCUUACGACCUCGAUG
rnacentral:rRNA from 1 species